UCACCGGGUGUUUUUCACCCUC
rnacentral:miRNA from 1 species